UAGCGUUCCGGCGCCGCAAAUAAAUAAAUAAAUAAAUAAAUAGAGCCGGUUCAGGUAUUAAGUCCCGCCUCUCAGUAGAAACAGCCAAUCAGCUUGCUGUUUUUGCGGCGCGCGGAGGAGCGGGGGAAGCCCCUCCCUUGCUGUGAGAUUUAGCAGCGGGAUCGGACGCAGCAGCUUCAGCUGAUUUAAAAACAGAUCUGGAUAUACGGAGAUUUUUCUCAAAAAAGAUAACGGAGGAAGGAUCUGGAACUGAUGCAAAUAAAGUCUCAAAAGGAACACAUGAUCACAGAAAGCAGAAGGUCUGGCUUCUGAAAACUGAAAAUGAGUCUACUGUUUGUGUGGUUUGCAUAAUUGCAGCAGGAUAAAUUCACAGCUAGCCGAUGGCUUUCCACAGGAGAAAAAAGAAAACAAAAAGAUGUUCCAUGUUCGUUGUAAUGGACGACGGUGAGCAACAAUAAGUGAGCGAGACUCAGUUUCAGUGCCAGGCAUGAUAGUUAUUCAGUUAAUUUCUGAUUUUUUUCUGAGGAUUUUGUCAUGGUAUCAUUUCAGCAUCAAUAUUGUGAUUUACAUAUUCCUAUGCCUUUACAUGGCAUUUUACUGCACAUUUAAGACAUUUAAGAAUUUCCAAUAUUUAUUUGCUGAACAAUACAGAUUAUGAAGUAAUGCAACAUAUUAAUAUAUGCUUUGCUACUUACAGUUUUGUUCUUUUGUUUGCAGUCUGUCAAAUCCAGUAGGUAAAGAGUAAUUGUGUAUUAAAAUCUACAUGUAAAGUAUUUUUUAGAAAAUGAAGGUUAUUUACGCUUAAAUAAAAAUUGAAAUAGCGGUAAUCAAAAUUAAAUCAAUUAGGGGUGCCGAGACUUUUUAAUAAGACUGUACUAACGUAGUGCAUUCCAGUAAGGAAUAAUACUAAAAAUAAAUUCUGGGUGCCAGCAGUUUAGACUCAGCUCAAAU